rnacentral:miRNA from 1 species
CUUCUUGCCUAGAUAUGUGGUUCUUAGUUAUAAACAUAUAUUAGGGCUGGAGAGAUGGCUCAGCUGUUAAAGGCUAGGCUCACAACCAAA